rnacentral:tRNA from 1 species
GCCCCUGUAGCUCAGUGGAUAGAGCAUCUGACUUCUAAUCAGAGGGCCACAGGUUCGAAUCCUGUCAGGGGUG